UAAAUUAAAAGGUGGAUUAUCAGUUAUUUCUUUCAUCGCCCCAAACAAGCUAAUAUUAGCGCUAAUGGUACGUAAAUGUAACUCGUUGUUUAAAGAACUAUCCAGAGUUCCUAGAGCUCCUUGUAAAGCUUGUUGUAAAACCCGUUGUCGGACUUGAUUAAUCGCUCUUUGUUGU